GUAGACGUAGGCUCAAACACACGUUUUCUGAAAGGAAGCAUGUCACAAGUGGCAGCGAGAAACGUGCGCGUCUUGACUUUACUGAAUGUAUGUGAUUGGGUUUUUUUUUUAAGCAGUACCAAGAAGACGGUGUGUGAAACGAACAGCUGUGUAUAAGGAAUUAACACUGCGAAAACAGUGUCGUAGUGCGGAAAAUGGCAUUUUUUGUGUGUGUGUGUUAAAUAACUUAUAUGGCUGCAAUUUGCCAAGAGGAAGAACAUCCUGCAAGUCACCCAUUAGGAAGCACCCACCACCCCAUCGCCACCCCUUCCAUCUGUCCGCCCCCUGGAGGAGACGCCGCUCAGGGAGGGAGCUGAUUCACCGUAGCCACAUCCUGGAAACACGACAGGCCGCAGGGCUACCAGCGUGGCGCCUGCGUGAUGCUCACUCAAAACUGAUGAGAGAAGUGUCUUUAAAGACAGACAGACAGAGAGAGAGAGAGAGAGAGAGAGAGAGAGAGAGAGAGAGAGAGAGAGAGAGAGAGAGAGAGAGAGAGAGAGAGAGAGAGAGAGACGGUGGAAAGUUUUAAAUACCUUUACAAGUAAAAAAAAAAAAAAAAAAAAAACAAGAGGAUUAAUGUGAUCGAAAGAACAAUGUGUUGUAUGCAAGAAUAUUUUUAGGGAAUUGGUUAAGGUUUCUUAACUGCAUGCAUUUUUCUUUGCUUCAUUGUGUUUACAUAUUGUUUGAAAGUGUUGGUUUACGAAUUACGAAAUUUUGUUUAUCGUUGUAAAAUAUUUCCAUUGUUUUUCAAUAUGUUGCUUACUGGAA